UGUGUGUCAUACAGUUGGGGAAAUUCUAAAAACUUUUUAUAGUUUGUUAGUUUCUAACCUAAUCCUAACUUUUGGACUUAUAGACUGGCAGUGCUAAUCAAAAGAUGUCUGUGUGUGUUGGGGGUGGGGGGGCUGGCAAUGCUGUCAAAACGCAGGCCAUACACAAUAAUGGAGUAUGUGUGCCCCAAAAUAAUUUUCUGCUAUAAUGUGAACACACCGCUCAGUUAUAGGCUUUUGGGUUUUACUGCUUAUGUAUCAUGUCAGUUUUCGCUGUGUCUGUCCCCUGACUAUCCAGUCUACAUGCUGUGUACUAGAACCCGGAUUUGUUCUAUACCUGUGCAGAAAUGUGGCUACUUCCUGUAAGAAGUAUGGUGAAGCAAUUUACAUCAUUUUCUUUGAUUUAAAUAUAUAAUUAUUUUCGGUUUUAUGAAGUAGCA